rnacentral:ncRNA from 1 species
UAAGGUCUUGGUCUUAAACCUAAUACUACUUACACCCCCUAAUUAUACAUGCAAGACUCAUCACUACGGUGAAGUAGCCCACUAGGCAUACCUAGAGGAGCUGGCAUCAGGCAAGCACCCAUAACGCCAAGCAAACAAGCCACACCCGCACGGGCCAGCAGCAGUAGUUAAUAUUGGGCAAUAAGCGCAAGCUUGACCUAGCAACGGGGUUCACCAGGGCCGGUUAAUCUCGUGCCAGCGACCGCGGUUAUACGACAGACCCAAAAUAAUAUCAUCGGCGUAAAGCACGACCAGAUAAAAGUUACCAUAGAGCGGGGAAGCCAACCUGGGCUGUAAAAAGCCAUAAGCCACACCAACCACACUCUAAUAAAAACAACUUCGACUCGUGAAAGCUAGGACACAAACUAAGAUUAGAUACCUUACUAUGCCCAGCCAUAACACAGCAAUUAAAUAACGCAUUGUUCGCCAAAUAACUACGAGUAAAAACUUAAAAUUUAAAAGACUUGACGGUAUCUCACACCAACCUAGAGGAGCCUGUCAAAUAACCGAUACUCCACGAUAAACCCUACCCACACUAGCCAAACAGUCUAUAUACCGCCGUCGCCAGCUCACCUUAUGAGAGAAACAAAGUGAGCCAAAUAGUCACACACUAAUACGACAGGUCGAGGUGUAACUUAUGUGUGGGUAAAAGAUGGGCUACAUUUUCUAACACAGAAAACACGAAUAAACUAUGAAACUAGAAACUGAAGGCGGAUUUAGCAGUAAGCUGAGAACAAACUACCCAGCCGAAACCAACGCAAUGAGAUGCGCACACACCGCCCGUCAUCCCUGUAACACCAACACACCAGCAAAAUAUACUGAUAUAAUGUACCAAGCAGGGCAAGUCGUAACAUGGUAAGCGUACUGGAAGGUGCGCUUAGAAA